GGGGAUAAGACCGACGGGAACGUAGCACCCUCCGGGGUGUGUUAUAGCCCGGCGGACGAUACCCUCGCGGGGACCGAGGUCCGCGCUCCGCAAGGAUGCUGGCGUAAUGGUCAUCAGUGACCCGUCUUGAAACACGGACCAAGGAGUCGUCCAUUAGAGCGAGCGUUUGGGUGUAAAACCCGCACGCGUAAUGAAAGUGAACGCAGGUGAGAGCUUCGGCGCAUCAUCGACCGAUCCUGAUGUUCUCGGAAGGAUUUGAGUAAGAGUUUUAACGGACGGACCCGAAAGACAGUGAACUAUGCUUGUAUAGGGUGAAGCCAGAGGAAACUCUGGUGGAGGCUCGCAGCGGUUCUGACGUGCAAAUCGAUCGUCAAAUAUGAGCAUGGGGGCGAAAGACUAAUCGAACUGUCUAGUAGCUGGUUACCGCCGAAGUUUCCCUCAGGAUAGCAGUGUUGAUCUUCAGUUUUAUGAGGUAAAGCGAAUGAUUAGGGACUCGGGGGCGCUAUAUUGCCUUCAUCCAUUCUCAAACUUUAAAUAUGUAAGAAGCCCUUGUUACUUAGUUGAACGUGGGCAUUCGAAUGUACCAACACUAGUGGGCCAUUUUUGGUAAGCAGAACUGGCGAUGCGGGAUGAACCGAACGCGGGGUUAAGGCGCCAGAGUGUACGCUCAUCAGACACCACAAAAGGCGUUAGUACAUCUUGACAGCAGGACGGUGGCCAUGGAAGUCGGAAUCCGCUAAGGACUGUGUAACAACUCACCUGCCGAAUGUACUAGCCCUGAAAAUGGAUGGCGCUCAAGCGUACCGCCCAUACCCCGCCCCCAGGGUAGAAACGAUGCCCUGGGGAGUAGGCGGCCGUGGAGGUCAGUGACGAAGCCUAGGGC
rnacentral:rRNA from 1 species